AGUGAACGCUGGCGGUAGGCCUAACACAUGCAAGUCGAACGGCAGCACAGUAAGAGCUUGCUCUUACGGGUGGCGAGUGGCGGACGGGUGAGGAAUACAUCGGAAUCUACUUUUUCGUGGGGGAUAACGUAGGGAAACUUACGCUAAUACCGCACACGACCUACGGGUGAAAGCAGGGGAUCUUCGGACCUUGCGCGAUUGAAUGAGCCGAUGUCGGAUUAGCUAGUUGGCGGGGUAAAGGCCCACCAAGGCGACGAUCCGUAGCUGGUCUGAGAGGAUGAUCAGCCACACUGGAACUGAGACACGGUCCAGACUCCUACGGGAGGCAGCAGUGGGGAAUAUUGGGCAAUGGGCGCAAGCCUGAUCCAGCCAUACCGCGUGGGUGAAGAAGGCCUUCGGGUUGUAAAGCCCUUUUGUUGGGAAAGAAAAGCAGCAGGUUAAUACCCCGCUGUUCUGACGGUACCCAAAGAAUAAGCACCGGCUAACUUCGU
rnacentral:rRNA from 1 species